GCUUUACCAGUUCUUGCGAGAGAGCAGAUACAACAGUCAAAGAGGAGGAGGAUAUCGAUGGCUUAGAACAGGAGCUACAAAGCUUGAGGAGCCUCAAGCAGCAGAAAGACAGAAGCGAGCGGGAAGCACGGCUUAAGAGGCAGAUCUACGAGGGGCGGGCACAGCUGUAACAAGAAACCAAGACAGAAAUGCCAGCGGCACCGGAACGCAUAACCCUGCAGCAACUCCGGCACGACCUAACAGCAACAAUGGACGGCCUUGGCGAGCCAUUCAAGACACAUUUACACAAACUUUCAUGAGGAGGAUAGGGUGUAAUCUACAAGCGGGGACACGCAAAUAAUUGUGACAAACGCACAAGGGAAGAAACAAAAAUUAGGAAAUACCUUUUUCUACCCGCUCCCUCUUUCAUUUAAUCACGUAGUUCUUUUUUUAUAUAGGUAAUAAGUUGGAAACCUGCAAUUGUGAGUCAGUCCCGGCCACAAACUCCAGUUCCCAAUGCUACUAACAUACAAGUAUCCCUGUGAUGUGCGUGUUAUUCGAAUGCUCAGAAACUGAGGAAUUGGGAACAGCUCCAGCAGGCUACAAAAGACCAUACAUUAUUUGACAGAGUGUGCUUCACUACAACAAAGCCGCUGAGAGACACCUUGUUAGCAAACCCAACUACGAGGAACCACACGAAUUCAAUCCACCUCUUAAGUACAGAUGGCUUCUCUCUGUGUAUGCCCUUGACAUUAUGAUCAGGAUGGUCAAGAUCAAAGCGUCCAUCACCUCAACUUUGGAACCAUUUUCAAGAUGGAUUCGACCAAGAAAAUUGUUACGAAGCUUGCAGGAAAUAGUGAACUAGGAACUGCUGCCUGGUGUACAAGCUUGGGAAAUGAUAAUGGGCAUGUAAGUGAAGGUUAGAACAUAAGAGCUAGAUUUUGAAUUUGACCUCAUAUAGGAUCAUUUUUUUUUUGUUUUACCAUGUCGUUAUGAGUGUUAUGACAGCUAGUGAGGGACAAGCACUAUAGCAGAAAUGGCUACCGAAGACCAACCAUGUAUGUAUUUGUAGCUUUUUUUUGACAGUGUGACAAAGAAUACGUAUUUUAACCAUACAGUGUUUAUUUUUCCAGUACUUGACAGUGUGGUCACUACAUCAAAGCCCUUGAGACAUCCUCCCACCCCUCCACGCCCCAACUGUGGUGUAUAACGAAGUCCAUCCUCGGUCGAGGAGUGCCUCAAAGUAAAAUAACAAUUUGAUAUUUUUUUAAACCAUAUCAUUUUCAAAUUUCAAACUAGAUAAUUGAAUAAUAAUAAUAAUAAUAAUAAUAAUGCUCGUUUAUUUCAACCGUUUGCAGUUCUUUUACAACUGAAUUACCGGUGGGGUCAGCUAACUACAAAAUACAUUACACCAUACAUAAUUCAUAAUAACAUUAAAUCCCCAGCAUAUUGCGCUGAGACGAAUUUGGAAAAACGGUCCGUGCGACCCGGAACCACACUAUGUGCGCGCUUAGAUCUUAGGGAGUAUGGCGAAUUGGAGGAUAUAAGUCUGCUUGACACUAGGGGGUAUAAGACGCUCCCCUGUUUGAUAUUGCUUAUGAAUUUUCUGCACACAUUGUGACGCCGCGCCUCUAAGGAAGACAAGCAUGCGCGUUCGAGGGCGUCCUCGUAGAACAGCAACUCUGAAUCUUUCAGCAGCUCCCAUCAACAACACCAUGUGCCGCAGCCAUCAGACGGUAAGAUUCCAGUUUCCUUUUCGUACAAAGACUGAUAAAAUUCACUAUGGAAAUUUUUGAAACAAAAUAAUAUAUGUGCAAUAAGCUUCCAAAUCUAACUUGGGCUGCAUGUGGAACUCAUGAUUACCCACGAAGUGAAUCGUAAGGAAAGCUGCACAGCUGCUUCACUAUAGGUUUCUACCAGCUAAAGUUUGGGAAGUUUAGAGGACAGACCUUCAAGUGGCUGGUAGAAAACAGCUAAGGAUAUGCUGCCUGGUUAGUUGAUAAUGCCCGCCUGGAGACAACAAACACCAGUGCCAUCUCUCAGAACAAAAACGCCUUCAAAACAUACCUACUGUUCUUCCUCGAAGGAAAAGAGGCGGUCGGCAUGAAAGGCUACUGAGAGAGAGAGCAAGUCAAAGGGCGGAGCAAACAAACCUACCAGUGCUUCCAAAUCUGAACUAGGAGCUGCAUGUGUAGCCGUCAUGCGCAAUUCAAGAUUACCCCUAGAGCUAAUCCCAAGGAGGGCUGGGCAGCUGCUCCAUAGUAAGGCUAUACAGCCUUAGAAGAGGUAUGUAAUAAGGACAUAAUAAAAUAAAAGGAUAUAAUAAAAAAAAUCAGGGUAAAGCGGCACAAGGACAGGAAGCUUCCAGGGAGGGAAUGAGAGAACUGGAAACGGACGAUAGUUUGUUAUAGGUGGGAUUGUAAACAAUGUUAAGCUGUGCUGUGGAGGGCUCGUAGUGGGUCUUCAUAUAUGUGAAAAAUUUGGCAAGAGAUAUUACUUAAGUGGGAACCCCAUAUUUAACAAAACUAAUCAUUAGUCAAAAUCCUCCAUCCAAACAAUGAUGAGCCUGAUGAAAAUAAAGAAACCGGCAAGGGAUUGUAUUGCCAAGCCCUUGUAUGGUAAAACAAAGAGAUGGUUUUAAACAUCAGCUACUGCAAAACCAAUGUCUGUGUUGGAAGAGAUCUCUAACAACAAAAAGCCGGUUGUUGAAGAUGAAGAUACCACUUCAGUGAGGCAUGCCACCCAAACACUAAGUUGAAUAUAUUGCUGAUAAAAAAAGGGUGAGUAUUAUGUUUUAUGUACUAUAUUGAUCGUUGAUAAUACGAAUAAAGUCAUGAAGUCAUGGUUCUAAUUUAUUUCAAAUACUAAAAUCUCUAAUUUACUUGUAUGGACAAAACCACUGAGCGUGCUCAAAUGGUAAACCUAUUAAUAGAUUUUUUGCCAUUUUUCUAUUUCAUACAAAAUAAACAGCAGAUAUUUAACAAGAUAAGACCCCAAAAAGGCACCAGUUUAACAAUGUGAUGCUUAAAAAAGUGACAAAAUAUGCAGCAUGCACAACACCAAGAAAUGGAGGGGUAACACUCAGACUUAUCAACACUUUUGUAAAUAGACUAGUUUUUAAACAUUUACCUAGGAUCAUUUUACCAUUUUAAAUUAUAGUACAAACCAAUACAAUAUUGUUGUGAAUCUCAUGUCAUAUCGGUAAUUACGCUUUAUUAUUUAUUUCAUGCUAUAAAGAUCCAAAGGAAGAAGAUGAAGAUAGGGAGAGGGGGGAAAAGAACAGAAAGGAGUAGUCGAGCCAAUCUCCCAAACAGACCCCGUCACCUUCACUAAACCAGGGCCAACACCUGGUACUUCUAUGGCCCCAAGCACAGCUGAAGAUAAUACAGAAUUCCUCCUCUCUGAUGGCUGGCGUCAGACUCUCCCUAAAGAAGACCACAAGUGGAUUGCUCGAUCCCUCUUCAAAGUCAACGCCAGCAGUGGAAAAGCCGAGCUAGAUUUCACAAGAUCCAAAGGAAGAAGAUGAAGAUAGGGAGAGGGGGGGAAAGAACAGAAAGGAGUAGUCGAGCCAAUCUCCCAAACAGACCCCGUCACCUUCACUAAACCAGGGCCAACACCUGGUACUUCUAUGGCCCCAAGCACAGCUGAAGAUAAUACAGAAUUCCUCCUCUCUGAUGGCUGGCGUCAGACUCUCUCUAAAGAAGACCACAAGUGGAUUGCUCGAUCCCUCUUCAAAGUCAACGCCAGCAGUGGAAAAGCCGAGCUAGAUUUCACAAGAUCCAAAGGAAGAAGAUGAAGAUAGGGAGAGGGGGGAAAAGAACAGAAAGGAGUAGUCGAGCCAAUCUCCCAAACAGACCCCGUCACCUUCACUAAACCAGGGCCAACACCUGGUACUUCUAUGGCCCCAAGCACAGCUGAAGAUAAUACAGAAUUCCUCCUCUCUGAUGGCUGGCGUCAGACUCUCCCUAAAGAAGACCACAAGUGGAUUGCUCGAUCCCUCUUCAAAGUCAACGCCAGCAGUGGAAAAGCCGAGCUAGAUUUCACAAGGUGUUCAUCUAUGGCUUGUUAUGGGGAUCAUUUUACCAUUUUAAAUUAUAGUACAAACCAAUACAAUACUGUUGUAAAUCUCAUGUCAUAUCGGUAAUUACGCUUUAUUAUUUAUUUCAUGCUAUAAAGAUCCAAAGGAAGAAGAUGAAGAUAGGGAGAGGGGGGAAAAGAACAGAAAGGAGUAGUCGAGCCAAUCUCCCAAACAGACCCCGUCACCUUCACUAAACCAGGGCCAACACCUGGUACUUCUAUGGCCCCAAGCACAGCUGAAGAUAAUACAGGUAUGACACACAUAUGCAAUGAUAAUAUUAACAUUUGAUUUGUUCACAUUGCUUUCAUUACUAUUAUUUGCAGAAUUCCUCCUCUCUGAUGGCUGGCGUCAGACUCUCCCUAAAGAAGACCACAAGUGGAUUGCUCGAUCCCUCUUCAAAGUCAACGCCAGCAGUGGAAAAGCCGAGCUAGAUUUCACAAGGGCUGACAAACUAUGGUGUUACCCCCCUCAGCCCCAGCUCAUUA